ACUUUAUGUCAAACUAAAUACUUACAAAUAUUUCACUUUUUCAUGGAAACUAUCACUCACAACCACACCUGGAUCGCGCUUCUACUUUGACAACGAUAUUGAUAUCAUACAACGCUUCCAUGAAGAGGAAUAAACUGCUAUCCUAAGCCUCAUAGCAAACGACACCAAUCAACUUUUUUAAAAUUUACUUUACAGCUUUCUACGUCAAUUAAAUAGGCACACUCAAAUACUAUUUUCUCUUACGAAUAUUAAAUUCAUCAACAUAAUUUAUUAUUCAAACUUACUUUAGUUUAUAAAAAAAAAAUGAUUACCGCUUCCAACAUCUUCGCAUUAUAAAAAACAAAACUUAACUAACACUUUCAGAAACUUCAAAACUCCCAAUUUUAAUUAAAAUGUUCUUUAAUUAAACAUGUAAUCCGCGCGAAGCGCGGACACGGGUUCUAGUCAGUAUAAAAACUUGAUCAACCACGUAAUGACUUGCGGUUGUGAUGUGGGUAUAAUGAAAUGCUACUUGUUUGAGAAAGUGGUAUUUUUGAAAUAUUUAUGGUACAAAAAUAAUUUAAUUGAUUAAUUAUGAACUUAAAGCAACAUGUUCGAAGAAAAAAGUAGUGGGUUAGGCUUUAUGAAAUAGGCACAACAUUUCAUUUGUCUGAAGUAAUAGCAUAGGUCGCAUCCAGAUCCGAAUCUGAGAUUUUGGGCGGGGAAAUUGAAAUUUUUUUAAAGAACUUUAAUGUAAAAAAAAUUCUUCAUGACUUCCGUUAUGACUGCGGGACAUUAUAGACAUUGGUCCUUGAAGUUUUCCCAAUUCUAAAGAUGAUAUCUCCUGUUGCAAUGGCAUGUUCUUCAUAAUUUUGGUUAUGGCUGUUGUAGUAUAUCUCAUGUUGUAUUGUCAUUUAAUGUGAGCAUUUAUAACGUGUGCCGGCUCUAACUUAAUAUCCCUUACUUAUUAAUCAAGAAGCAUUUUUAAGAAUAAACCUUACUUUAGUAGAUUAAUAACAAUUUUGCCAUUAUUGCUGACGUGGCAAAUUCACAGCCCUUUUCACCUAAUUAAACUAAUAAGCCUUUAAUUACUAGGAUAUUUACAACUAAUACCAUUGGUAGGUAUCAUACCUAUUAUACAUUUUUCAUAAUGUAAAUGACAGUACACGGAUCAAAUAAAACGACAAUAACCGGUUGAUACUCUUUAAGCUUUUUUAACCGGUUAUCUCCGGUAAAAAGUUGUAUAGAAUAAUUCUGCUUGAGAUGUUUUACACUUUAAUCCAACCCAUUGAAAAACCUUGAUUUCUUCAUAGUCACCUACAAAAUAAACAAAAACGUAAUGGAUCUUAUAAACUGGACAAAUGACAUUUUUUCCUGCACAACCCCGUUGCUAUUAACUAAUAUGAGGUCCUACAUGAUCUGCUAAAGAGUUUAUUUCGUUCUAAAAGAUAUUGUCAUGAACAAAAUUCAAGCAGAACACUAUAUAGUAAUUACGUUUGUUGAUGAUAAUAUUUCCUUCUGAUCAUAACAAUUAGACCAUUAUAUCAAGAUAAACUAAUCAAUUUAUCCGUACCAAAGACACUUAUUCCAUUGUACAAGCAUGUUUUUUUUUUUUGAACUGCAUUGUACAAGCAUGUUGUGAAGUACAAAACUCGCGAAUUCAACUUUUUAGCAGAUCUACCAUCAACUCAAUUAGCUUACUACCAUUGAUCGUAAUUUCGUUUAAGAUGACAUAAAACUGCUUAAUUCGUGAAACUAUUCUGCAAUGAAAUCUCAUAUAUUGCAAUUUUCUAAAACACGUUUCAUGUGUUAAUGUAUUUUUAUUUUUAAGUUGUAUUGUGCAACAUGAUAAACAUUUUGAAGUUUCGUAUAUAUAAUGAGCUUAUCGAGUGACUUUAUUAAAACAAUAGUUUUCUAUUUUCAGCAUUCAUAUUUCACAUAUGAUAAUUAAAGUCGUGAUGCACAAUAAAAUGAUACUUGAUUUAUCCCAUUUGCAUUUAUAUUUGACAUAUAGGAGAUUUCAUGGUUCACAAUAAAACUUUAACUAAACUAUCGCUCCCCAAAUUUAAGUUGCCAUAAUUCCAAAAACUAUAUAUCUCUAUAUACAUACCGUACAAUUAUAUGUCUGAUUUUGUGUUAUGCAAUGCAAAUCUCUACCUAUAAUUUGGGAGCUAAUUACAUUUAUUGUGUGCAAUAAUUUGUUUCCUUAAUCUUCAGAAUUCUUAUAUAAUAAAGUUGACUUGCCUCUCUCCUCCUGCGUCCACGUCAGCACAGAGGAUGGGGCGUUUUUGGAUACCUGGCGGCUCGGAAGUGGACCGGUGUUUCUCACGCUCUCUCUUGCUUCUUGCGCGUCGCGGUGAUUACGUAUGCGUGUAUCCAACCCUUUCGUUUUGAUUUUUCUUGCCUCUGCAAAACUUGAACGUCGUCCAUUACAAAUCAAAGGCAUCACCCACUUCUUCCAUUAAUUAAUUAUAUAUUCUCCUCUUAUAAGUUUGUAAUCGAUUUAGAGAUAGAACUGUUUUUAGAAAAAGCUAUACGAAUGGUUAAGGGAUUUGGUUUUUACGAUCCCGAAUAAUCUGAGAGGAAUUUUUAACUACGAUGGCGACUAACCCGGAGGUAGAGGAUUGUCUGGAGAUGGAAGUACUUGGGUAGAGAGGACGCUGGAGGAAGUAGUAUUGGUGAUGAAGCUAGCUUGCAUCAAUGAAGUAGCAGACAGAGAUGAUUGCGGUCGCACGUGUGUUGUUGAUCAUAACAUGAGAGGUAGGUAUUUCCGUGAGUGGGUGAUUGAAUGAUUAUGAUGGUAGGUUAUUUUAUUUAAAGUAAAUUGUCGAGAGUAAUACUGAACAGCUUUUGCAAUGUCUCCACCUGCUAAAAAAGUCUUCAAAAGCAGAGGAAAAAAGAUCUAAUGCUCAGUAGUUCAAGUGUUUGAGAGCUGGUUAUUGACUCCAAUUUUUUUUUGUUUUUACAAUUAUUAUGCUUGCUAUCUUUGAAUCUUCAUUAUCGUCCUCAGUGUUCUAUUCCUCAAUUUUUGACCAGCUGUGGAUUUUAUUGACAUAGACUGAAGUCUUGAGAAGUUGUUCCCAUUGUAAAAAGGGAUGAUUUUUUAAUAAUAUGUAAGAUUCCAUUGUUACCUGCAGACAAGGACAUGGAAAAGGAUACGUCAACUUUAAGUCAAUACAGAUGAUGAUCCAAUGGAUUUUGGGUUUAGCUCACCAGCAAAUAAAGAUAAGAAGAAGAAUUCGUUUAAGCUGUGAGUGUAACAUACAUCACAUGCUUCUUAGACCAUGUAUACGCCUAAUCUCAUGCAGUUCAAUCAUGGAUUUUUUUCUCCUUCAUUAUGCUUCUUAGAUUACUUCUCUAAGAUAUAGUUGCUUGACAAAAAGGCCUAAUGUCUCAUACAAACAUUUGACUAACCACCCCUAAUCAAUCAGGUUUCAUCUAUUUCUCUCCCUCUCUCUAUUAUGUAUCUUCCCUCACUAUUUCUAACCAGUUUUAUGAUACCUUCAUUGGAGCUGACUGGUAGAUGUGUAGUUGCAGAGUUGCAGGAAGCGGGUAAAGUUUAUUCUGCUCAGAUGCUUAGUACACUCACAAGAGCUUCCCAUCCUGUUCUCGCUACAUUACCUUGCUAUAAAAUUGAUAUGGUAAGAGCUUAAUGAUGUAUAGAAUGUGAUUAUUAUUUUUUAAGUUGAAGACAUGGUUUAUGUAUGGUGUGUUUAUGAAAUUCAUAUGUAUAACAGAGAUGAUGAGCUUUCUGUAUUGAAUUUGGGAAAGUGGGGGUCAUCUUUUGAUAUCCCAGAACUGGAUGUUGUAAAUUGUAUAUCGAAUUAAUUUGCUUUAAUUUGAGUUGUUAGAUGUGACCACGAGGAGGCAAAUUCAGCAGACAAGUGUUUGUCAGGGUAUUUGGAACCAAACGUUACAUGCAUUUCUUUCACGAUUCUCAGGACAGUGACUUGAAAAUGCUUCAGAAGGUUAGUUUGAUGAGCUUUUUUUAUUUAUUCGGAGGAUAUGAUAUAGAUAUAUUCGGUGAGUGUUUGAGGAGUCUAAAUUUCUGAGUUUCGUAUGAAUGUGAAAAAUAUAAUCGAGCUUUGAUUUUAAUGAGACUGUGGAGUUUAUAUACUAUUAGUGUUGGUUAUUGUUGUGGAGUUUCUAAUAUAUCACUUCUUUUGUGACUUGAAACUUGAUACCCCAGAAAACAGAGGUGUUCUUUCUUCUUCUUGAAGGUAAAAACAUAAUCCAAACUGAAGAGAAGUAUCAGAAGAGCAAGGGUUGCAAGAUAAGCCAUUCUUUCGCUUCUAUUAAGAGAAACCAUGUCGUCUGAAAAUGACAAAAACAUCUACCAAAGCCUCUUUAGUUUGCUCUGACUCUCCAUCGACAAUAUAUGAACUCAUGCUGUCUCUCAGUUCUGACUCAUGUCUAACUCCCCUACCACAAAUUCUUACACAACAAUAGACAAGAAUAGCUCAAACUUUAUCUGAUCACCGGACAUACAGGUUUGAUUAAUGGACUACGCCCUACAUACUACGGCUUCACAUCACGAGGCUCUGCAAUAGUUCCAAGUUUAUGAAGACAACUUCAAACUCCCCAUUGAGAUCUCAAAAAUAUUCAUGCACUCCAAACAGAGUGAGAACUAAGUGAAUAUACAAUUUAUACAAACGUCAUCCCCAGUCCAUUACCAACCAACGAUUCUGAUUCUCCACAAAUACUCACCGACAUCUUCCAAAACAGGCGAUCCAAUGGGCGAAAGGUAUGAGAGAAUAGAGAUAUCACAUCUUUCAUCACGGCCGCAGAGAAAGACAUGAGCAAGAAGCUCCAAGAGAAAGAUCAGGAGAUGAUGACCAGUGGUUAGAAGUGUUAAGAACAAUUCAUAGGAGGCUAUAGGCAUCCAUUAGUUUGGUGUAUGCUGUAGGAGGCUGAUUUAUUUAGCAUGAUCCAUGAAUAACGACUUGCACAGUAUCUGAAACAAUGAUUGUAAAUUUUAGAAACUUAGAAUCAAUAUAAUAAUGAUUUAUAUUAUUUUCUUGGGCAUUUUGAAUAACAAUUAAAAUGUACUAAUAUAUAUCCAGGAAGAGCAAGAAGUACUCAUUGAGCAACUUCGGAAGAAAAUGGCUUAAAGCAAAAUGAAUAUUUAUGUUUCGUGUUUAUCAGAAAGAAAUAGAUCCUUAAAUACACAACAACCGAAAGCAUGAAUCGCUCUUAAGUUAUACUUUCAUCAUUUGUUUCAUAUUUUCAAAUUAUACUAUCAAGUUAGAAUAAGUUUAUUUCUAAGAGAUUGAAACAAAAUCCCUACUUAGAAUUGGUACUUGGUCAAAUUUUUUUAACCGUAAGCUUCAUUUCUCUCUCACAUGUGUUUUAUAAAUCAUUUAACUUCAAACCUACAUACACCAGAUCGAAUUUUAUUUUCCCUUUAUGAGCUGGAUCCAACCUGUUGUUUGAUGUGUGACAAGAAACAUAAGACUUUGGAGACCUGUAUGGUUCACAUGCAUAAGCACAAUGGUUUUUUUGUUCCAGAGGUUGAGUAUCUAAUCUAGAAGGGCUUCUCACUUGCCUCGGUCUUAAGGUCAAGAGAGACUUCAUGUGUCUCUACUGCAGUGAGCUGUGCCAUGCAUUCAGCAGCUUAGAAGCUGUAAGAAAGCAUAUGGAAGCAAAGAGUCAUUGCAAAUUGCAUUAUGGUGAUUUUGAGGAAGAUGCUUUGUUGCAUGUUUCCUUUUAUAAAAAAAAAUGUCAUUUUUUACUUCACUUUUUAAAGACAAAUCUGAAUUUACAUUUCUUCUAUCAUGAAUAUUUUUUAAAAGUUAAUUUGUUGUUUGCUACUUUUGAAAUUCAUUAAUUCUCCCUCAUGUACUAACUCCUACCAUCAACUUUCCGUUUAGGAUAAACCAAUAAACUUCAAAAAGAAAAAAAAAUUCCCCUAUACAUACGAACCAUAAACCAAUAAAAUGCAUCGCCUGCCAAAACUUUUAACAUUUUCACUCAGCAUGAGUCAAAAAUGCAUUCACAUACCUUUGAAAGUUAAGGACUCCAGGCCUGAGAUCUCUUAACAUGCACUCAGAAAAUCCAUUAUUAGGUAAUGACUCUCGAUUCUUAAUUGUCAAGAACUAAUAAUUCUAUGUUGAUUGGACUAACAAAUACCAAAUGAAAAAUAAAACUAAUUGAAUUCAAAAAAGAAAAUAACGUCUGAACCCAGCGCGUAGCGCCGGAAUACCCCUAGUGAGUUAAUAAAAGUUAAAAAAACGGAUUCACUAUAUAAAUAUUCCAAUAUUCUGCAAUGUUUGUAUACAUUGAAAUAUAUUCCAAUAAGUUUGCAUAUAUUUUUUAUUGGUUAUCGGCGUGGCCCUUAUGGUCAUUUGGCAACUCAGAAUGGUCACAGUCGGGGUAAAGAGUGUUUGGAUUCGCAAAACGAUGGUAAAUUGAUCUGAGGAUGGAAGAUCAUAAGAGACGAACAUAAGACUUGCUUUUUAGGUUUCAGAAGGAUUGCAGAGUCUGGUGAGCUGUUGGAAUAUUUCUUUCCACGUUUUUGAAGAGUCUGAUUUGUCUCCUUUUAUAUGCACUAUGCAGAGUCAGUUUGAUUUUUCAAGUUCUAGCAAGGAUCAAAAACUAUUAAAGCUGUUGAGAAUAUACAUAGCAAGCACUACACCUUGAUCUUUGGGUGACCUUGUUGCUUAUAAGUUACUUAAAUCUGUUGAUUAUAAUAUGGUAUUGAUCGAUAAAGACAUUUUUUAAUUUGCCUAUAAAUUAUUUUCUUAGUUGUCCAUCACUCAAUAUUUGGCACUAUAACUUCCUAAGGUCAAGUUGUUAGAUAACGAUUUCAGAGAUAUCAAAUCAAAUGAAACUAGGUUAAGACCCACUCCUUGCGCGGGAUAAACAUUAUAUAUAUAAAGUAUUUUAUAUAUUAUAUGUUGGUAUUGUCAUGUAAGCAGACCAUUAACUACAUUUUGUGUACAUCGCACAAACCAUUUAAGCCAACCAACAUAUCCUGCUAAGACAUUUGCAACAUUUAAAAACUUGAAGAUAUCGUGUGGAGCUGUGCAUUUUAGAUGGUACAGAGUCUGCAGUGUUUGUUGUUUUCUAUGCCGAAAUUUCAUGGUUGACUAAUGUGCGUGCGGCGGAAAUCAGUGAACUUAUGGGUGUUGGUGUGGGAGACUGUAAGGGCCGAGGUUCCACAAUUUCUGCAAAAUAUUGUUGGCAGAACGUUCACUUUCCAGUUGGAGCUAACUGAGUUAGCAUCAGACCUUCACUGUUACAUGUAUCUUUGACCGCAUCAGCGUCCCCUCACAGCAACAUUUGCGAUUCAGGAUGGGCACAACUAUCCUGAUGACGAUUUGCAUGGUGACGAUAUAAGUUUCCUGAAAUUGCUUAGACGUGACAAGACAAGUGCCACUGACCAGAACAUUUGACGUAAUGACCUCCACAUGAAACCCAGGGGUCCAUCUGCAGCAGAACAGCAAGAUAUGAGCCCAAUUCUGGCAGGAUCAUUGCAGAGGAACAACAGCUUCCAGGAGCUGGUUGCCCACUCAAGAAGGCUCGCACAGUGUAGUUACUCAAGUGAUCUACCUUAUAACCCUUCUAUUUCUUACAAGCUUAAGUUCACAUUAUAUUUUUUUUUGUCGCAGGAGCUGUUAUAAAGUUACAAAAAUUACUUUGCAAAAAGUUAUUAUUACAGUUUAGUCUGAAAAUGUUUAGUUGGAUACAUAUGAACUUACUAUAUUUUCAAAAACAUAAAUUUAUAUAUUUACAUUGGGUGGUUUGUAAAUCAGUUACUUUUUUGUCAACAAAAUGAUAAAAGCGUGAUUUUAGUUAAGACUAAAAUCACGCGUUUAUCAUUUUGUUGAAAAAAAUAUAACUGAUUUGCAAAUGAAAAUAAUUAAAUCUUCAUCAUAUUGUUAGAAAAUAAGUUCAAAAUUAUAAAUAUUAAACGUAACAAAAGUUAAAAUUUGUUAUAUAACCUAUUAUGAGAUAUGGUAGAUGUUUAAUAAAUCUUUACCUCUUGUUAUUAUCGUUUGUGUAGGUUAGAUUUACAAAAGAUUCUUUGGUUGAUACUUGAUAGUAAUUCUAACAAUAUUAAGUUAGUCAUCUAAAGUUCAUCGUGGUUCUAAAGUAAUUGUUUCUGUUUUUUCUUGUUAGCAUAUUUUAGGAAACGAUUUGGUUAUUUUAGAUGAUAUUGUUAGAGCUUUAAAAACUAUAAGAAGAUGAAAUAAAAAUCACUUUUUUUUUAAUUUUGUUAGCGUAACGUUUGAAAAUUUAUUGUUUGUUCUAGUUAAGAUUGUUAGAAUCUAAGUUUGAAAAAAGUUAAACGAUUCGUCAUUAAAACGCUGUAUAAAUACCGUAUAAACCAUAACCAUAUUAUUCUGCUGUUACCAAAAAACAUUACAGUGUACUACUGAACAGCGUAUAUACGGGUGUACCAACCGUAUUUUAGAACACUGGAUUUUUCUAAUAUGCAUGAAUGAUAAAUGUUUAUGCAUCUGUUUACAUUUCAUAUUGCAUGGAACCAAAAUAUUUAUUUUUUAUUCAUGACGAAGAGAAGUCAUGGAGAAGAAGAAGCAAAUGUCUAUAUAUCAGAUUAUUUCUAAUGAGGACCCAACUUUCAUAGAUUUAAACAUGAGACAAUGAGGAGAGAAAAAAACAAAUGAAAUGUGUGUAUACAUAUUGUGAAAAUGUUUGUAUUAAUUAUAAUAUACCGUAAAGGAUUAGACACAGUUGUAUUAAUGAACUUUGACAGAUUCAAAUAUAAUGUAUUCAUGCUUGAACUUAUAAAGGUGAAGGUUCAAAUAUAUUAAUAAAACUACGUUAGCGUAUUUUGAUGUUAGUGUAUUAUGGGUAGUCGACAGAAUCUUUUUAGUUAGAGGGGAAAGAUAUUUUGUAAUGUUAAUCUAAUAGUAAUGAAUGUUAUAUUAUUUUCUAGUGACAAUUGAAUAGAUCCAAAUUUAAAUGAUAACAUUUUUAAGCAGAUAAAAAGUAGGACUUUAUUUUAAUAGAUUAGAUUACUCGUAGAUCUUUGUUACGUCCGAUUAAUUUUGGUGGAAAUUGAAAAUCAAGAUAUCGUUGAGCACAUUGCGUAAUUAGACGCUUGGCCUUUUUAUUAAUUUUGUUUGGGUAGUACUAAUAUUUAAUAUAAUUUUCUUGGGUUAUGAGUAUUUAGGUUUUAUAAAUUAAUAUGGGCUUCUGCUGUGUGACUUAGAGUCUGAAUUAUAAUUGCUAUAUUUUAAACAGUUAUGGAGGGGAUUAUAUGAUGCUUCCUAUAUGUCGUCACACAAUUGUUUUUGAGAAAUGGCUUGUUUAUUAAAGGAUUCCUCAAAAGAAUGGCGUCAGAAUUGAUAUCGUAUGUCAUGAUUAUUGAUUAACGUAAUAACCCGCAUAGUGUUAACUAUAAUGUUGGAGGAUGGGCCGUCGGCCCAUUCGCGAGUUGGGUAUUAAAAGACAAGUCCAGCAAAGCCCAAUCAGGGAAGAGACGUCCGCGGCGCGCGCAGGGAAACAGGGACCUAGGACGCGUAGUCUGUACCUACCGCCGAUCGUAGAUAAGGAACCUAUGCAAGCAAUAGGGAAAUGAUGAAGGGCCAAACCAACUAUCUGACACACAACCACUAUGAAGCGGAUAAAGCGCGCCUAAAACGAGUAUAAAUAAAGAAGAGCAUUGAAUGAGAAGGAGGCAGCGAAAUAGAGAAAGAAAGACUAGAGAGAUAAAGUAGAGAUAAUCUCGAGUUCAUCUUUAAGACUACGAGUUCUUCUUUUAUAUCUUUUACUUCGGCUUUUUGUAAACACUUCAUUAAACGAAACCUUUGUCACCAUUAAUCAUACUUAUAUUCAACAUAUAAUGAUAGUAUUAUUUAUUUUUCCUUUUGGUCAUAAUUAAAUUUGUGAGUGCUAGCUUUUUUAUUGUGAUUAAAACUGGACGGAUGAUGAGUUAAUUAUUAAAUGUUUUAUCAUAGUACGCAUAGGCCUACUUACACACAUCAUCAUUGUUCUUUCUUUAUGUCAGCAUGAUUUUUAACGUUAUCUUAAAUGUCAAACACUAGGGUAAAAUCCACCUUACGGGCGGAUAUGCAAGUGAAAAGCAAUAUACAAAUAUCUUAAAUUCUGAGACAUAUUUAGAAUAUUUAGUUUACUCUUAAAGUAAUGUUAACAUUCACAAAUUAUUUUGAUACCUUUUUACAAAUCAUAGACUUAAAAAGAAAUUUUACUUUUAAUCAUGUAACUAUUUUAUAAUUAUAAUAUAAUAAAUAAACAAAAUUAUUCGAAAUUAUGAUUGAAUUUCAGCACAUAAAAUAUUAAUUAUUCUUUUCUUAUACAUUUUCUUUCGAAUUUACUGUUAAUAUACUUUAAAAAAAAAUCUAUUGAUUUUACUAUUAUGAGAGAGAACCUUAACUAUAAUAUGCUUUAUUGUGAGUAGUGCAGAGAAUUGAUUUUUUUUGUUUAAAAUUUAUUAUAUAUUUUUAAAUAAUAAUUGCUUAUAUAUUAUGUAUGAAUCAUUAUUUUUGUUGAUCUUUUAUAUUUUACGAUAAAAAAUUUUGAGGUCAUGAUAUCCAACCUAAAUUUCAUUGCGUUAGUUAUAGGAAUCGAUAUUUUAUAUGAUUAUAACUGGGCUAUGUUCUACUCUAAAUUGACAGUGUAUAUCUUCUUUUAUUUCUGUUUAUAUGUUUUUGUCAAGUUGUUUAGUUGAUACUCAUAGUAUAAUAUGCUUUUCUAAAAAAAUACCAUUCUUUAUGUUUUAUGAAAGUAGUAAAAAUAGAUACAUGUAAUAAGUAGUGAGUUUGUAGAUUUAUAGCCUUCUCUAACAUGUUCUCAAAACUUUUUUCUUCGGUGAGAUUAUAGUCUGUUUUUAGAAUUUAAUUUGGUUGAUGUCUAUACAUUUUCAUGAAAAUAAUCAAUGUUCAUAUUGUUUUUGGUAAAUAGUUUUUCUAAAUUUACAAUUUUUCCAAUUCAAAUAUACCAUAAAUGACUAUUUCCUGAAUUUAUUAACAAAUGAGUGAUUACAUACAAUUAUUUAAAUAGUAUUUUUAUUUUUUAUAUAUUAUUGAUAAAUCAGAUAAUUUUAAUAGUAUCUAGAAUAUACUAUUCAAUUUUAAUUUUUUUAACUUUUUAGGUUGGAUAUAAAAUAAUAAUAUACGUUUCUGAUAUUUGAUAUGGGAAUAAUAAUAAGAAUUUAUCUACAAAGUUUGGUGUAACUAAACUUUUUUUUGUUUGAGUAUUGAACUAUUUUAUUACCUUAUUACAAAGUAAUGGUUCAAUAGAUUGAUCUAAAGAAUUGUUGUGUAACAUAUAAUGUCAGAAAAAAUAAAAUAUAAACAUAAAAAAUAGUAUCUUCUCCGGAGUAUUAUGAUCUUCAAGUAAAAUAUUAGAUGUUGUUUUUUUUAUAUCUUCAAAGUAUCAUUCGAUGAGUUGAGUACAUUCUUUCCAUUAGAAGAAACCUGUGAUCUAGGUCAGUGAUCUCACAUGACUUGGUUGGUCAAGAUGUCCUCCAGACCCUCCAUUGGGGGCUUGAAUAUAGGCAGGCGAGUCUCCCCUGAACAUGGAGUCAAGUAACCUUACAUACCAUCACUGCAAGCAGUUCCAAGAACAUUUGGGGAGACUUUAAGAGUUGCAAGUAUAAAAUCAAACUUACCAGCUAACUUAAUACUCAUCCACUAUGAAGUAAAAGAAUAUGAUAAAGUUUUGUUUCUUUUAAAUUCUGAACGUUAGCUCCUGUCUGACGGUGCUAUGAAGAGCAUGUCACAAAAACUGCCGGCUAUACACUUCUUUUCAUCCUGCAGAAAUAAAGAAAAACACUUGAAAGACAAUCAUUUAAGAAAACAAAGCCUGAUCUAAAGGUAAUUACUAAAACAUUAGAGUGACGUGUUGGCACCUUUAUAUCUCAUUCCACUAACACAUACGAUGAAAAAAGUGAACAACGACAAUCUCUUCCACUUCUUCUCUUUAUUUUUUUUUUCUCUUUUCAAUGAGAGUACACACAGAAUGAAGGUUUGCUAGACUUCUUAUUCAAGUGCUGUGAAUAGAAGAAAGAUGCAGUUUUAUCCUGGGACUCUAAUCGCUAUACAACCGUCACACUACGGGGCCUUUUUUGAGUUAAGGAAAGAGAUUCCUAAGUCUCGACUCUGCAAAAACUCAUUGUCCAUUUCGAUUAAUCCAUGGUAUUUCUGGAUUUAUUCAAUGUUUUUAUAAUCUAUCUCACAAUUAUUCAGAUUGUGUCCCUUUGUAAUUUAAGGUCCUACAUAUUCAACAACCUUUAAAAAACAAAAGAGAAACCAUUUUUUCAGAACGUGAGGAAGUAGAUCGGUAUUUGCAAGUUGCCGUCGGCAAGCUUUCAAGUAGGCAAGGAGAAGGUUCGUAUUGGCCAUCUUGGUGUUCUUGCGUCAAAGAGAAUGUGAAGAUUGAUUUGUUGGAAGCGAUGCAUUUCAUGGAAUAAGAAAACCUUAUUUAUAGAUCAAGUUUUCAUGCGUUUUUUAAUCAAUAAAUAAGGUUUUUAAAUGUGCGAGAGUGGGAAAAAUGGGGUAAAGACUUAAAUGCAUUAUUUUUAAGGCGGUAAAUAUGUUCCAUAUGGGCUUGUGACGUAUGGACCUGUUAUUUGGUUUAGUUAUUAUAGAAAUCCAUUAUUAGAGAUAUCAACAAAACAUAAAAGAGAUUUCGGCUUGCCACGUCGUGCCCAAGACACUUCAAACAAAGCCCAUUCGAUUUCAUAUUGCGUAAUGACUAAAGCCCCUCAAUUUUCCAAAUAAAUGAAAUGAUGCAUUUUGCAAGGCGGGACACGUGUCACGACCAGAACACUCGACUUAUUGACAUGGCGCUGACAUGGCAUCACAGGAGAGAGGCAAACAUAUUUUUAUAUAUAGAGAUAUUAUGGAAAUCCAUUAUUAGAGAUAUCAACGAAACAUAAAAGAGAUUUCGACUUGCCACGUCGUGCCCAAGACACUUCAAACAAAGCCCAUUCGAUUUCAUAUUGCGUAAUGACUAAAGCCCCUCAAUUUUCCAAAUAAAUGAAAUGAUGCGUUUUGCAAGGCGGGACACGUGUCACGACCAGAACACUCGACUUAUUGACAUGGCGCUGAAGUGGCAUCACAUGAGAGAUGCAAACAUAUUUUUAUAUAUAUAGAUAGAUAUAUAGAUAGAUAUAUAUAGAUAUAGAUUCUUUUUAAAGUGGAUGCAUAACAAUUCUUAAGUGAUAAAUUACGAGUUCUUAAAAAAUUUUAUAGUACAUGUAGGAUUAAAAUCCUAAUUAACACUCGCCUUAGACAUAAUAGAAAAUUCCCAUGAAAUGCAACCCCAUGAACUGCAAUUGUUGUCAUGACUAGGUUUACUACGUUAACCGACACAAAUCCGAUCAUAUAAAUUAGAGGCCACAAAAACAGCCCAACUACAAAAAAACUCAUGUUAUUUCCACCAAUGUAUUCACUCAGCCACUCUUAAUUAAAAAAUAUAGUCCAAGUACAAAAACUCAAAAGACAAUUCAAGAACAUCAUCUUCAUUUUUAACUGCCCAUCCAGUGGCUUUGCACAAACAAAUAACUACAACUUUAGUUGCAAACAAACUCCUAAAGUUGGAUUAGCAUAUUAGCAAUCAUAUAUGAUAUCAUAUACUCCUAACGAAAGACAGUUAACGUGAUAACAAAGUCCAAUAAAAACUAUAUAUUCGACUUAUAUUCUAUAUGAUAACAAAGUCCAGUAAAAAUUCUAAAAAUAAAUAAUUUUGUAACUAUAUAAUUUUAUAACUUUGUAGAGUUAUUAAUUAAAAUUUUUUUAUCACAAUUCUUUAUUUUUAAAAUUAAUUUUGGGUAAAAUAAGAAAAUAAUUUAAUUAUUGUUUGUAUAAUUGUUAAAUUUUAUAUCCGAAUUUUAUAUCUUUUUUUACACUAUUUGAUUUAUAUACUAACAACUACCUAAAUUAACACUUUCCAAUCCCGUAAACCUCAGCUUUUUAACAUGAAAGCGCUAAUAACGCUAAUGGUCAGUCAAAUCAUUACAAAGAUAAGAUAUAAAAAAUAUCAACACAUAUGAAUUUGCCGGUCAUUCUUAUAUCAACCUAAUCAACCUGUGUGACUUCCAAUGUUCCAUUUAUCACCAUUACAGACAACACAGAAAA